AUGCAUGCCAUCAACAUAGCAAGUCAAAUGGGAUUCCACAAAGUGCUGUUUGAAACUGAUUCCGCACAACUGAAGACUGCGGUAACAACUGAAGAAUAUGAUUUGGCGGUUCUAAGAUCUAUAUUUAGAGAUAUAAAAUUUCAGUUGUGUGUAGGUUUCGCUGAUGUAUGUGUCAUUUCGUGUCCUCGGACUUGUAAUUCUGUAGCGCAUUUCUUAGCUACGCAUGGUGCUAAUCUGGAAGCUGGAACCUAUGAGACUUGGCUGGGACAGGUACCAGACUUAAUACUGAAUGUUAUUGCUGGCAAUUUGCCCAACGGCACUUUAUAA
rnacentral:rRNA from 1 species